GACGAACGCUGGCGGCGUGCCUAACACAUGCAAGUCGAACGAAGCAUAGCAAUAUGCUUAGUGGCGGACGGGUGAGUAACGCGUGAACAAUCUGCCCUGUACAAAGGAAUAGCCUCGGGAAACCGGGAUUAAAACCGUAUGACACUUUAGUAUCGCAUGAUAAGAAAGUCAAAUCGAUUAGAGGUAUGGGAUGAGUUCGCGUCUGAUUAGCUGGUUGGCGGGGUAACGGCCCACCAAGGCGACGAUCAGUAGCCGGCCUGAGAGGGUGAACGGCCACACUGGAACUGAGAGACGGUCCAAACUCCUACGGGAGGCAGCAGUGGGGAAUAUUGGGCAAUGGGGGAAACCCUGACCCAGCAACGCCGCGUGAGGGAAGAAGGUUUUCGGAUUGUAAACCUCUGUUCUUGGAGAAGAGAAGAAGACGGUAUCCAAGGAGGAAGCCCGGCUAACUACGUGCCAGCAGCCGCGGUAAGACGUAGCGUG
rnacentral:rRNA from 1 species